rnacentral:rRNA from 1 species
GCAAAGGUAGCAUAAUUAUUAGUUUUUUAAUUGAAAGCUUGUAUGAAGGGUUGGACGAGAUAAAAUCUGUCUUUAUUUAAAUUACAAUAGAAUUUAACUUUUAAGUCAAAAGGCUUAAAUGUAUAUAAAAGACGAGAAGACCCUAUAGAUCUUUAUUUAAUUAAUAUUUUGAUAAUUUAAGAUUAUUUUAGUUUAAAGUUUUAAUUAAAUUUUAUUGGGGUAAUAUAAAGAUUAAAUAAAUUCUUUUUAUUUAUUACAUUGAUUUAUGAAUAUAUGAUCCAAUAUUAUUGAUUAUAAGAUUAAGUUACCUUAGGGAUAACAGCGUAAUUUUUUUGGAGAGCUCAUAUCGAUAAAAAAGUUUGCGACCUCGAUGUUGGAUUAAAAAUUAGCUUGGGUGCAGAAGCUCAAGAUUUUGGUCUGUUCGACCAUUAAAUUUUUACAUGAUCUGAGUUCAGACCGGCGUAAGCCAGGUCGGUUUCUAUCUUUAUUUAUCUAAAAUAUUUUAGUACGAGAGGACCAAAUAUUUAAUAUAAUUAUAUUUAUUUUUUGAAUAAUAUU